rnacentral:rRNA from 1 species
CCUACGGGAGGCAGCAGUGGGGAAUAUUGGACAAUGGGCGAAAGCCUGAUCCAGCAAUGCCGCGUGAGUGAUGAAGGCCUUAGGGUUGUAAAGCUCUUUUACCCGAGAUGAUAAUGACAGUAUCGGGAGAAUAGGCUCCGGCUAACUCCGUGCCAGCAGCCGCGGUAAU